rnacentral:sRNA from 1 species
UCUAACAUUAUGUUGUAAGUCCGUAAGA